AAGACCUUGCACUUUUGGAGCGGCCGAUGUCUGAUUAGCUAGUUGGUGGGGUAAUGGCCUACCAAAGCUUCGAUCAGUAGCUGGUCUGAGAGGACGGCCAGCCACACUGGGACUGAGACACGGCCCAGACUCCUACGGGAGGCAGCAGUGGGGAAUUUUGGACAAUGGGCGCAAGCCUGAUCCAGCCAUGCCGCGUGAGUGAAGAAGGCCUUCGGGUUGUAAAGCUCUUUCAGCCGGGAAGAAAAGGUUGCGACUAAUAAUCGCAAUUCAUGACGGUACCGAAAGAAGAAGCACCGGCUAACUACGUGCCAGCAGCCGCGGUAAUACGGAGGGUGCGAGCGUUAAUCGGAAUUACUGGGCGUAAAGGGUGCGCAGGCGGUUUUGUAAGUCAGAUGUGAAAUCCCCGGGCUUAACCUGGGAACU
rnacentral:rRNA from 1 species